UAGGGAAUAUUGGACAAUGGGCGCAAGCCUGAUCCAGCCAUGCCGCGUGAGUGAAGAAGGCCCUCGGGUUGUAAAGCUCUUUUGUCCGGAAAGAAAAGCUUUGGGUUAAUACCCCGAAGUCCUGACGGUACCGGAAGAAUAAGCACCGGCUAACUUCGUGCCAGCAGCCGCGGUAAUACGAAGGGUGCAAGCGUUACUCGGAAUUACUGGGCGUAAAGCGUGCGUAGGUUGUUCGUUAAGUCUGAUGUGAAAGCCCUGGGCUCAACCUGGGAAUUGCAUUGGAUACUGGCGGGCUAGAGUGCGGUAGAGGGCAGUGGAAUUCCCGGUGUAGCAGUGAAAUGCGUAGAGAUCGGGAGGAACAUCUGUGGCGAAGGCGACUGCCUGGACCAGCACUGACACUGAGGCACGAAAGCGUGGGGAGCAAACAGG
rnacentral:rRNA from 1 species